rnacentral:rRNA from 1 species
AGAGUUUGAUCAUGGCUCAGAUUGAACGCUGGCGGCAGGCCUAACACAUGCAAGUCGAGCGGUAGCACAGAGAGCUUGCUCUCGGGUGACGAGCGGCGGACGGGUGAGUAAUGUCUGGGAAACUGCCUGAUGGAGGGGGAUAACUACUGGAAACGGUAGCUAAUACCGCAUAAUGUCGCAAGACCAAAGUGGGGGACCUUCGGGCCUCAUGCCAUCAGAUGUGCCCAGAUGGGAUUAGCUAGUAGGUGGGGUAACGGCUCACCUAGGCGACGAUCCCUAGCUGGUCUGAGAGGAUGACCAGCCACACUGGAACUGAGACACGGUCCAGACUCCUACGGGAGGCAGCAGUGGGGAAUAUUGCACAAUGGGCGCAAGCCUGAUGCAGCCAUGCCGCGUGUGUGAAGAAGGCCUUCGGGUUGUAAAGCACUUUCAGCGGGGAGGAAGGCGUUAAGGUUAAUAACCUUGGCGAUUGACGUUACCCGCAGAAGAAGCACCGGCUAACUCCGUGCCAGCAGCCGCGGUAAUACGGAGGGUGCAAGCGUUAAUCGGAAUUACUGGGCGUAAAGCGCACGCAGGCGGUCUGUCAAGUCGGAUGUGAAAUCCCCGGGCUCAACCUGGGAACUGCAUUCGAAACUGGCAGGCUAGAGUCUUGUAGAGGGGGGUAGAAUUCCAGGUGUAGCGGUGAAAUGCGUAGAGAUCUGGAGGAAUACCGGUGGCGAAGGCGGCCCCCUGGACAAAGACUGACGCUCAGGUGCGAAAGCGUGGGGAGCAAACAGGAUUAGAUACCCUGGUAGUCCACGCCGUAAACGAUGUCGAUUUGGAGGUUGUGCCCUUGAGGCGUGGCUUCCGGAGCUAACGCGUUAAAUCGACCGCCUGGGGAGUACGGCCGCAAGGUUAAAACUCAAAUGAAUUGACGGGGGCCCGCACAAGCGGUGGAGCAUGUGGUUUAAUUCGAUGCAACGCGAAGAACCUUACCUGGUCUUGACAUCCACAGAACUUUCCAGAGAUGGAUUGGUGCCUUCGGGAACUGUGAGACAGGUGCUGCAUGGCUGUCGUCAGCUCGUGUUGUGAAAUGUUGGGUUAAGUCCCGCAACGAGCGCAACCCUUAUCCUUUGUUGCCAGCGGUUCGGCCGGGAACUCAAAGGAGACUGCCAGUGAUAAACUGGAGGAAGGUG